rnacentral:rRNA from 1 species
UACGAAGGGGGCUAGCGUUAUUCGGAAUUACUGGGCGUAAAGCGCACGUAGGCGGAUACUUAAGUCAGGGGUGAAAUCCCGGGGCUCAACCCCGGAACUGCCUUUGAUACUGGGUAUCUCGAGUCCGGAAGAGGUGAGUGGAAUUCCGAGUGUAGAGGUGAAAUUCGUAGAUAUUCGGAGGUACACCAGUGGCGAAGGCGGCUCACUGGUCCGGUACUGACGCUGAGGUGCGAAAGCGUGGGGAGCAAACAGG